rfam:Salmo salar isolate Sally breed double haploid chromosome ssa16, whole genome shotgun sequence.
UGAAUGCACCAACUGUAAGUCGCUCUGGAUAAGAGCGUCUGCUAAAUUACUAAAA